rnacentral:rRNA from 1 species
GUCCAUGCCGUAAACGAUGAGUGCUGGAUGUCGGGGUAUUCACCCCUCGGUAUCGAAGCUAACGCGAUAAGCACUCCGCCUGGGGAGUACGGCCGCAAGGUUGAAACUCAAAGGAAUUGACGGGGCCCGCACAAGCGGUGGAGUAUGUGGUUUAAUUCGACGCAACGCGAAGAACCUUACCCAGCCUUGACAUCCUCGGAACCUGGUGGAAACACUGGGGUGCCUUCGCAAGAAGGAGCCGGGAGACAGGUGCUGCAUGGCUGUCGU